rnacentral:rRNA from 1 species
AUGAGCGACCACACCUUCGACAAGCUUCAACCUAUCUACAGAAAAUCUUCCGAGAUGUCAGCAUGCUGGAACGUUGACAAGCACCAGCCACCAGCAGUGGUCACACUUGAUGACCGACAAAGAGCCACAAUCUGUUCAGCGCAAGUACCAGAACAUUUUGAUCUCGAUGGUGCCACCUCACGUAACCUAUUGGCUAAUCCAGGACAUUCAGUUUCGUCAGGAAACAAUAGCGACGAGCAUGCAGAUGGAGGACAUUUUAAGAUACUUUUGGAACUGUUGGGCGGUGCGGGCGAUCCGAUGUCAAAGCAGCAGCCAACUAUCUAUGUGGUCCCCAAGGAACUUACGAAGAAGCUGGAUUAUAAUCCCCAAGGAGAACAUAUGCCUGUUGCUGUUUGUCUGGGCAGGCCUUACGGUUCUCCGGGAACUCAGCGGAUGGAAAAUUACAAAUGGCGCUGUGUAGGACAGCUCAUCAGGCGGCAGAGGCGCUGCCCCCUCUUGGAGCCUGAGAGGACUGCGGUGCUACUGGACGGAUGUUUGACGAGCAUGGAAGGCCUCCUGCCUCGAAUUCGAGCAUCCUACUCUGAGGACACCUUGAUGAAUAUGGUCGGCUACCCGGACAAGGAUGUUGCCGACCUUAUGUUAAAAGACGGCUGCUUCAUCCUACACCGCUUGCUCAAGUACGCGAUCCGCGCUAAGAUGGAAGAAGCUGGUGGCAGCAGUGAUCAGUUUGUGGACACUGACGAGGACUGGGCUCAGGUUUACGGCAGGUGCUUUGUGUGGCAGCUUGUGACGCGGGACCUGCUGCUGCUUGAGAACCAGAUCCCGUUCUUCGUGAUUCAAGAGCUCUUUCAGCAGCUGAUGAACGAGGACGAGCACGAGGAGCUCCUGGUGACCGGCAGCCUCAGGCUUUUCCGCUCUCUUCGUCCCCAGAUGCUGCAGCGCUGGUCCAUUGAAUGCGACCAGGUGCACCACCUGCUACACCUCUUCUACCUCUCGGUCGGCUUCCCGCCCAACCACCGCCCGCAGCAUUCCGGCCCGCGCCGAGCCGACCAUCUGCUGUCUGAGAUCCCGCAGUGGAUCCCGUGCGCAAAGGAGCUGGAGGAGGCUGGGGUUCGGUUCCGCAAGAGGGAGAAUGCCACGAGCUUCCUGAACGUUACCUUCUCCCUGGCCCGGGGCAUCCUGGAGAUCCCGCAGCUGGAGCUCAACGACUCGAGCGAGUCGCUGUUCCGGAACCUGAUCGCGUUCGAGCAGACCUACCCGGACACCCCGCGAGAUGUCUCCACUUACGCCGUUUUCAUGGACUGCCUCAUCACUUCGGCGGAGGACAUGAGGAUCCUCGAACUGCACGGCGUCCUCGUCAGCCACCUCAGCAGCAGGAGGGUCGCCUGGCAAUUCUUCAGCGACGUCGUCGGGAGGGUGCACUGGUCGACAAACAACUACCUGGUCGGUCUGAUGGACGACGUGAACAGGUACAGGGAGCGCAGGCGGCACAAGUGGCGCAUGGAGCUUGUGCGCAACUACUUCAGCAACCCUUGGGUGGCCAUGUCGGUCUUCGCAGCUCUGCUCCUGCUCGCCAUGUCCGUGCUGCAGACCUUCUUCGCUGUCUAUGCCUACUUCAAGCCUCCCAAGUAA